GGACCAGCUAGGACAUCCAGCCUUCAACUGGGCCAAAUGUAAAGAACACAUAUUUGGUCUGCUUAUUCCCUCUGAAAGCCUCUGCUGUAGUCUAUUUCCUUCCAGUGCAUGGUAACAAGUGGCUGCUCUCAGAAAAGUACUGUGACUACUGCCUACUAGGUUCUUUAAUUUCCUUCCCCCUUUCUCUCUCGAUCCACCUUCCCCAUAUGACCUUGUUCCCUAGCCCUGCCUCAAGUCCCAGACUAACCCAGCCCUCAGUCAGCAAGGUGGUGGGUGACACUGGUUUGAAGAUCUCCCUGGGUCUCCUCUAGCCAGUCAGACUGGUGGCGUGUUUGGAAACCACAGGCCCAGACCGUGGCUGUCAGACCUCCCGGACGCCAUCUGCUGCCGGUCUAUCAUCAUCAUCCUCAGGUACUGCGCUCAUCUGGCCGGGCUUCCACCUACCACCCUCUGCUGCAGCUGUCCCACAAGCGAGAGUGCCGCCUCCUGACACCACGAGAGAGCCUAUCUGGAUUCCAGGAACAAAUCCAUCCUUGUCUGCCUCCUUCCCACAGAAGAUAAACAUUAAUGGCAUUAUAACAUUGAACAGGCCUAAGGGAGAGAGAAAACCAGAAAGCCUGCCUGUCUCACUGCCUCCAUGCCCAGCCCAUGAACAGCGCUUGCCCUGCUGUGUCUAGCGAGCCACCCACAAAGAAGGAGGUCGGCAGAAGUGAAGAUUCAUCCUAGAGACUAUCCUUGCUGGCUUGAUGAACUAAGCAGCCAUGUUUGGGAAGCUCAUAUUGUGAGGAACUAUGGGAAGCCCCCACUCCCAGCCCUUCAUCCCAGGAAGAAGCUGGGAUCCUUGGUCUUAGAGCCACAAGAAAAUGAACUCUACCAAGAAUGUGAGUGAGCUUGGAAGGGAUUUUUUCUCCAGUUAAGCGUCUAGAGAAGAGUACAGUCCAGCUGAUACCUUGACUGCAGUCUUGUGAGACUCUAAGUAGGGGGAUCAUCUAAGCCUUGCCUACACCUGCAGAAAUUGUGAGAUAAUAAAUGGGUGUUUUCAACCACUAAUUAUGUGGCAAUUUGUUAUGCAGCCAUAGAAAAAAAAUGAAUACUCUGCUAUGCUCAAUGCCAUAUAUGUGAUUCUCUCACUUAGUGCUUGAAGUAACCCCAAGAACCUAAUACUAAUAUCCCCAUGUUACAGAUAAAGCAACUGAGGCUCAGGAGUUGAACUCCAGAACAUUCUGCUCUCAACCACUGUACUAUCAUAGUACUAUUACAUACUAUCAUUUCAUUUUACUGUAGUUCAUUAUUUCAUGGAUUCUAGUUUAUCAUGGUUUAAAAUUUAUCUCCUGAAUAUACCAACUAUUUUUAGGAAAUGUCCUAUUAGGCAUACCUAGUACACAAAGGAGAUGAUUUUAUGAAUUCAACAUUACAAGGAACUUCCCUAUAAUUCAUUUUUGAUGUAUUUUUACCACAUAUCUCACAGAAAUAUUAGACUCAUGAAUAGGAAAGUUUCUCUUUUGUGUAAAAUAGUGAUGGGCUUUGAACUAUUUAGAAGGGAGAAAAAUUGUGGCUGUUGAUUUGGAAUUAGAAUACUCAAGUAAACAUCAGUUAGAAUGUGCUGGCUAUGGAGUCUGUCUUUAACUUCACUGCAAGAAUAAAAUACUUCAUCUUGUUUCCUAAUUUCCCCAUUUCUAAUCAGGUAGAAGGAAAAAUUAGGAAGUGGAGAGAUUUAGAAAUGUUUUUCCCCCCUUACAACUAAAGUCCUAUUUGGUUUAGUGUUCUGAGUAGCUGAGAUGGAAUUAUGACCCCACUACUCUAUCUUCUAAUGAGAAUUCUUUCUAUUCUGCAU